ACUCGCUGUUGGCGAUAUACUGUCAGCGGCCAAGCGAAAGUAUUAAGUGAUGCACCUGGGGAGUACGCCGGCAACGGUGAAACUCAAAGGAAUUGACGGGGGCCCGCACAAGCGGUGGAGCAUGUGGUUUAAUUCGAUGAUACGCGAGGAACCUUACCAGGGCUUAAAUGUAGUAUGACCGGCUUAGAAAUAGGCCUUCUCUUCGGAGCAGAUUACAAGGUGCUGCAUGGUUGUCGUCAGCUCGUGCCGUGAGGUGUUAGGUUAAGUCCUGCAACGAGCGCAACCCCUAUUCUUAGUUGCCAGCGGUUCGGCCGGGGACUCUAAGAAGACUGCCAGCGCAAGCUGAGAGGAAGGUGGGGAUGACGUCAAAUCAUCACGGCCCUUACGUCCUGGGCUACACACGUGCUACAAUGGUAGAGACAGAGGGCAGCCACCUGGUGACAGGGAGCGAAUCCUUAAACUCUAUCUCAGUUCGGAUCGAAGUCCGCAACUCGACUUCGUGAAGCUGGAAUCGCUAGUAAUCGCGCAUCAGCCAUGGCGCGGUGAAUACGUUCCCGGGCCUUGUACACACCGCCCGUCAAGCCAUGGAAGCUGGGGGCACCUGAAGUCGGUAACCGUAAGGAGCCGCCUAGGGUGAAACUGGUAACUAGGGCU
rnacentral:rRNA from 1 species